AUACCUUUCUCGGCCAGUCGGCCUUUUGGCUAAGAUCAAAUGUAGUAUCUGUUCUUAUCAGUUUAAUAUCUGAUAGUGGGCCAUGGGCCCACAUGAUAUUAAAUUAAUUUUUCUAGGGGUAGGGCCCGCUAUAAUAGCUUGCUAUUGGGAUCCUUGAGCGUCGCCCAUGCUUCGCAACUUCUGCUUGAGCCUGGUGUACCCCUC